rnacentral:misc_RNA from 1 species
CGAAAUGCGAUAAGUAAUGUGAAUUGCAGAAUUCAGUGAAUCAUCGAAUCUUUGAACGCACAUUGCGCCCGCUGGUAUUCCGGCGGGCAUGCCUGUUCGAGCGCCAUUUGAAGCCCCUCGGCGGCCCGGGUUCUCUUUUGUACUCGCGCCGCCGGCGUUGGCGCUCCGCUUGGCCCCCUUGCUUGUGGGCCAGGCGGGCUGCCCAAAUGCAGCGGCGGACCGUUCCGGGCCUCCCAGCGCAGUAGCAAUAGCCUCGCUGCGGAAGGAAGGAACGGCUUCUGGCCCCCAUUCGUCGACGUUUUUUUGUCGUCGACCUUUCCAAGAGCUUGACCUCGGAUCAGGUAGGAUUACCCGCUGAACUUAAGC